AUUGAACGCUGGCGGCAGGCCUAACACAUGCAAGUCGAACGGUAACAGGAAGAAGCUUGCUUCUUUGCUGACGAGUGGCGGACGGGUGAGUAAUGUCUGGGAAACUGCCUGAUGGAGGGGGAUAACUACUGGAAACGGUAGCUAAUACCGCAUAACGUCGCAAGACCAAAGAGGGGGACCUUCGGGCCUCUUGCCAUCGGAUGUGCCCAGAUGGGAUUAGCUAGUAGGUGGGGUAACGGCUCACCUAGGCGACGAUCCCUAGCUGGUCUGAGAGGAUGACCAGCCACACUGGAACUGAGACACGGUCCAGACUCCUACGGGAGGCAGCAGUGGGGAAUAUUGCACAAUGGGCGCAAGCCUGAUGCAGCCAUGCCGCGUGUAUGAAGAAGGCCUUCGGGUUGUAAAGUACUUUCAGCGGGGAGGAAGGGAGUAAAGUUAAUACCUUUACUCAUUGACGGUACCCGCAGAAGAAGCACCGGCUAACUCCGUG
rnacentral:rRNA from 1 species